rnacentral:lncRNA from 1 species
UUUAAGACCUUUAACUAGCAAAAUAUGCUUAAUGGAGGAGGAUUCGCCCUUACCGACCGAGCCAAUGCCGAUAAUCUUUCCUUUGUUAUUGUCUCCAAAGAUAACAUUUUCUCCUUCCGUGGGUUUUAGUUGAAGGAAUUUUGAUGCAUCCCCGGUCAUAUGUUUGGAGCAUCCACUAUCAAGGUACCAAAGUACACUUGAUCCCUUCAN